rnacentral:rRNA from 1 species
AGCGAACGCUGGCGGCAGGCUUAACACAUGCAAGUCGAGCGGGCACUUCGGUGUCAGCGGCAGACGGGUGAGUAACACGUGGGAACGUACCCUUCGGUUCGGAAUAACGCUGGGAAACUAGCGCUAAUACCGGAUACGCCCUUUUGGGGAAAGGUUUACUGCCGAAGGAUCGGCCCGCGUCUGAUUGGCUAGUUGGUGGUGUAAUGGCCUACCAAGGCGACGAUCAGUAGCUGGUCUGAGAGGAUGAUCAGCCACACUGGGACUGAGACACGGCCCAGACUCCUACGGGAGGAAGCAGUGGGGAAUAUUGGACAAGGGGCGCAAGCCUGAGCCAGCCAUGCCGCGGGAGUGAUGAAGGCCUUAGGGUUGUAAAGCUCUUUUGGCCGGGACGAUAAUGACGGUACCGGAAGAAUAAGCCCCGGCUAACUUCGUG